CGCGGGCUCGCGGUCCCGCCAACGCCUGCGUUGGGAUCUUGGGGACCGCGAGGGGAGAGAGGACGAAAAUCCUGUUGGGGAGGAAGGACGCACUCGCAGGCUUGUCUCCUGCCUGCUCCCUGGCGAUCUAGGCUCUAGCCCUUCGGCUCCGCUGCCCGCGGCAGCUCUGGACUCAUCCAGUCUGUCCAGCCUCAAGAAGACGAGCCCAAGGGUCAAAGAUGACCCUCGACCCUCGCUCUCUUCCCGCAACUCGGAUGCGACGUGCCUUGCGCGCCGGGGUUCUUGCCCAAGAACGGAGGCGCCCGGGCGCCCCUGCGCGGAACCACCGGGACCGGGCCUAGGGUCCAGAGCCGGGGCCUCGUGCUCGGUGCCGUGCAGAACGCGGCCGGGCCUGGUCCCAGCGCCGAGCACCACGCGCCCAGGGGCCUGCGGAGCCACCGCGACGCCCGGGACGCGCCAGCGCGGCCGGAGGAGAGAGCUCGGCAGGUGCCCGUCGUUCCUGUGGGUUCGUGGUAGCAGCUGCCCCAGGGGCCGGUCCGGUGGGCGAGGGCCCCGGGUACGCCCCGCUUGAGGCCGGUCCUCUCUGCGCGGGCGCGGCGCUGUGGACCAGGGGACCCAAAGAGCCAGGUAAAAAUAGGAGCUUGGGAGCCGAGCUGGAGCCGGGUUCCGACCCGCGGUCACCCGUGUUGGUGGUUGUGCUGGUCUGGCCUGGGGCAAAGGGAAGGAAGAAAACUCGGCCUCUCCUGCGGGGCUCCGGACAAGCCAAGAGAGCCUCGAGGGUCGACUCUGGGCUCAGCGACCGGCCGCACCUGGCGCUCAGACGACGUUUGUUGACCGAAUAAAUGAACUAAUGUUCUCUUUAUUCUCGACUUGUUUCCCAGCUCUUAGGCUGCCCCAGAUCUGCAGAAUUUGCUGAAAGGAUCUUAAAGCUGAGGUGCUGAGGAGAAGGCGCCGCGCUCAGAACAGGCAGAGCCGCGGCGGCCCGAGCAACUUGCUGUCUCUGGGGAGUAUUCGUGCUGGGCAUCUCUCUGCCGUCUUGUUUCCCUCUCACCCACUCACCGAAAUCCAGAAAGAGUAAAAAACCUUUCUGGUUGCAAAGUCCUUUCAGAAAUCAACUCUUUUCGAAACAACAGCAAAAAGUUCUUUCUUUUCUAAAGAAAGGGAUUCGUAACCCCUAGAAGGCACCUGCCUGGAGAGAGAAUUCGUAAAAUUUUAAAUGUCCAGGACACGAAUGCUUCAUUUGAUAUUUCCCUUUUCCCUGGGCCCUGGUUUUGAAAAUUGUAAUGCUUUUUUAAAAACUGCCUUUUAUUUUCCCCGAGUAAAUGUUGGCCACUACAUUCCAAAUUGAUCUCAGAUCGUUCUCCAGCUUAUUCAGGAGAAAAACCAAUGCCUCCAGAAAGAUGGAAAAUAAAUGGAG
rnacentral:lncRNA from 1 species